GUAAUCUGCCCGCCUUGGCCUCCCAAAGUGCUAGGAUUACAGGUCAGAGAAAUGGCAGCUGCAUCCAGGAAGAUGAGAAAUUUGAGCAGGCUUAGAAGUUGGCAGCCUACAACACAUUGCAAUGGACUUUUCAGAAACAAGAUGAUGUCAUGUAAGUCAAAGAGGACCAGCCUUGAAGAGAAAUUGCCCUGAUUUCUGACUGGAGUAUAUAUUGUUAAUAUCAAGUUGGCCUGGAGAAGUUGUUAGCCAAGAAAGGCUAUGGCUGUACUUGGAAAGUGGGAACAUUGGGAACUUACUGGAGGACUCCUGGUACUCAGACUUGGAGGGGUCUUGGAGACCUAGGUGGGCUAGAGCUGACUGAGACAGUGUAAAACUGGAUGGUGCUUGGCUUUGUAAGGCAUGCUGAUGUUCACUGUAGCAGGAAAGGACCUUGAAUGUGGUUAUGAUGGAGACAUGGAACCUGGGCAUUGACAAGUAGGUGUCCAGGAUAAAGGCAGACAUGGAGAAGAAAUCUGAAAGGCCCUUAAGCCAUGUGGCAGAGAGAAUCAGACUCUAUACUGAGAGACCUAACACAAUACUUGGUGUUUAGUGGGCACUCAACAGAUACUGGCUCCCCUAAAGAUAUUGGGUGUUCAAAUUUGAAUAAAUCGAAAUAACCACAGUGCAGUUCUAGGAAAACAUUUGUAUAAGGCGUAGCAGGAUCUUUGCAAUAAGAAGUCAAUGGCUUCUUUGUUGUAAAAAUUGUGGAUGCUGUGGUUGAGGUAGUGUGGGGAGGCCCAGAGUUCUUCUGCACUGCUAUUUGGUGUUUGCCUUUCCCCUCAGAGAAUCUGUGAAUCACCUUCUGGGAGUCCUCAUAGUUCCACGGAGCACUAAUCUAAAAACCAGUAGAUUAAAGGAUCUCUAAGGACAAUUCUAACUCUAAGCAUCAAUAACUUUUAUCAUUAGCAAAUUUCUCCCUAAGUCAUCUUUUCUUUUGUCAUUCAUGCGGUGUCCUUGGUUUACUUUGGCACCCAUGACUUAGCUGUGUAGAUACUGGGUUUGGAUAUCAGGGAUUGUGGAGGUGGCCACAUAUGGCCUUUUGUAGCAGAAGGCUGUCUUUUUCAUCAAUUUCACUAAGAAGUUUUCCAAAGAAGUCCUAGACAUGGAUGUGAAUCAAUUUUGCCCCAAAAAACCUUUGAACAGAACUAUGGUGGAUGGCAAACAUGGCCACGAUCAUUUCCUUCCCUGUAUUUACAUCCCUGUACAAUGUGACUUUGCAGGUCCUCUCAUCAAGCUAUGGAGUCUAUUUCCUCCCCCUUUUAGUCAGAGAAGAAUGUGAUAGAAGUGACACUGUGCCUGUUCUGAGCACAGACCUUGGGACACCUUGCAGCCUCUGCUCUAAGCUGCUCUCAAUAAUCAAAGUGAUAAUUCUUUACAUUUGUAGAGCAUUUUAACUAUUUCCAAACCAUUCUCACAUUAAAUAUCUUAACACUCAGUGAUAAGGGAGUAGAUGUUAUUAAUGUUCACAGAAAACCCCAUUGGAUUGACUGGCUAGAUACUCUGCACCACACCCUUUUGGAACCCUGAUCAGUCAUUACACGACUGACCAGCCCAGGGUAGCAAGCUGGAUGAUGGAGAUCAUGUUGCCUAGAGAUGAGCUGUUUUGGCGGAGGCUACGCUGUAUCAGUCAGUUUCCAGCUGGCCUUGCAUUUGAUUGUAGAGGCACGGGUGAGUCAAGACCAGAAGAACCACUCACCUGAGCACAGCUCAAAUUGUCAACCCACAGAAUUGUGAGCUAAAUAAAUUAUCGUUAUUUCAA